CCAGAACCACAUCAUUCUUGUUCGAGGAUAGGCUGGGAGUGGUCCACCACCAGUCAAAGCCCCAAGGGUGGUCGGCCACUAUAUAAAAGAAUUUGUUCUUCCAUCUGUGAAUGGAAGAAGAAAGUCUGAUAAUAAACUGACGUUUAGGCCAGGGAUAGAAGAACCACCAUCCUCAUUCUCGAGGAUAUUUCUUCAACAUGAAGAGAGCUUGAAAGAAAGAAAUUUGGGGCUCAAACUGAAGAAGAAAGCGAAGAACAACAAACGAUGACAAAAUCCUAAAAGAAUUAGAAGUAAGCUAG
rnacentral:lncRNA from 1 species